rnacentral:rRNA from 1 species
AUUUAACGCUGGCGUCAGGCCUAACCCAUGCAAGUCGAACGAGUGGCGCACGGGUGAGUAAUGUCUGGGAAACUGCCUGAUGGCGGGGGAUAACUACUGGAAACGGUAGCUAAUCCCGCAUACCAUCGUCUGUGCCCAGAUGGGAUGAGCUAGUAGGUGGGGUAAAGGCUCGCCUAGGCGACGAUCCCUAGCUGGUCUGCGAGGAUGACGAGCCACACUGGAACUGAGACACGGUCCAGACGCCUACGGGAGGCAGCAGGGGGGAAUAUUGCACAAGUGGCGCAAGCCUGAUGCAGCCAUGCCGCGUGUAUGAAGAAGGCCUUCGGGUUGUAAAGUACUUGCAGCGGGGAGGCGUUACCCGCAGAAGAAGCACCGGCUAACUCCGUGCCAGCAGCCGCGGUAAUUC